AGUACCGUAGCACAGUGGCUAGUGCACCCGACUGUCUCUCGGAAGGUCGCGGGUUCGAAUCCCGUCGGUACUGCAA
rnacentral:tRNA from 1 species